rnacentral:rRNA from 1 species
CACGUAUGGGGCGAGCGUUGUUCGGAAUUAUUGGGCGUAAAGGGCGCGUAGGCGGUGCUAUAAGCUUGGUGUGAAAUCCCCCGGCCUAACUGGGGAAUAGCGCUGAGAACUGUAGUGCUUGAGUUCUGGAGAGGAAGCUGGAAUUCCUGGUGUAGGGGUGAAAUCUGUAGAUAUCAGGAAGAACACCGGUGGCGAAGGCGGGCUUCUGGCCAGAAACUGACGCUGAGGCGCGAAAGCGUGGGGAGCGAACAGGAUUAGAUACCCGGCGUA